GGGCCGUAAGAAUUACGAUAGUUCGCCUGCCUUGCACGCAGGAAGCCAGGGUUUGACUCCCUGACGGUCCACCA
rnacentral:tRNA from 1 species